AAGUUAUUAAAAUUUAAAACCAUGUACAGAGUACAAUAAGAGAUCGCGAAACCAUCCGACUUCCCUUCUCAUUCUAUUAAGAAUCCUGGAAAUGACUACGGUUGUUCACCGCGUGGAAGGAUUCAUUGUUUGGAAGCGCGGGAACUUCGGUGUGACUUGUUAAGCGAAGAAAACUCUUCUCACGGUGCAAAGUUCACGGCCAGCGCGUCGAUCUUUAUCUACGUAGCCAUGUCCGGGGACCCCUCGAGUCGUUACACGCUAAAAUUACGUCGCCAAUAAUGAGGACGUAGUCUUCGAAUAAUCUCGGUACCACGUCCUUGUAUUUCUUUACCUUGCUAUUUUCUCAACGUUAAAACAUCGAUCUUGCAUCUUUUAUUUAUAAUAUAACGUAACAUUAACUAUAUACACUAUAUUGGAAAACAAACUACCGUAUAAUGAUAAUUAAAAGAGAUAAUAUUUUAGAUAUGAAAACUACUAAAUAUUGAAUCAUGGUAGAAGACGUUUACCCUUUACUCUUCAAAGAAAGAAACGAGAAUUCUUUAUCAUAGUUCCGGCUUGAACCUAUAAUGGUUAUGCUUUGAUCGUAGUGAUUCGUCAACGGCAACGCGGAUAAUAGUCGCGGUUGCACCGGCUGUGUCGAGGUAACGUCUGCCAUAUGCCAAGCUGAAAACCGGCCAUGAUUUUUGCUAGCAUCACUGCCGUAAGGCAAUCGAAAAACAGAAUAGAUAUCCGAAGAAGACGUGCUAUUUGUAUCAGAUGACGUCGAACAGGUACUACAGCUGCAAGAAGUACUACUUGAAUCUGACUCACUCAGAUUAAUGUGCAAAUUUGCAUUAGGAAUUUCGAAAUUAUUCGGAACAGCAAGUUGAACAUUUCUGUCACCGUCGUGCCACGAUGACAAAGUUGUGCUGCUAUCGCUAAGUUUCGUAAUUUUUACUCCAGGCGGAAGUUUUAAUUUGACGGAAUCAUAGUUAACUUUAUCAUACAUCUCACCGAUAAUUUUUGAUGAUUCCAGUUUCGAUUCUUUCAGUUGCGUUUCUUUACAUUUCUUUGCAUUUUGAUUUUUUUGCGAUUUUUCCUUUAGCAGGCAACUGGAAGUUAUAUUUUGCACAUUUAGAGUAGAGAUGAAGUUAUCAUUUUUAUUCGGAGAUUGUUCGUUUUUUUUUAUAACUAUCAUUUUAUUUUCAAGUAUAGAUGACUUAUGAGAAUUUAGUACAAUCGACUUAUUGAAAUGGUUGUAAAUCCCUUUUUCUCGAAAGCAAAAAUCCUGUAACUUUGAAUAAUUAUUUUUUAUAUGGAGAUCUUUGGAAAUACAGUUCAUAUUAUCAAAAUAUUCAUUGUUAUUGGAAUAGUUUAUAGCAGUAGUAGGGCGAAGUUCGUAGGGCGAACGUGUAAAAAUCUUAGAAUUCUCGCAAGUUCCUUUUUUAUACAUUUUUUUCUUGACUUUCCUUGUUAUAACGUGUUUCUUAUUGACAACUUUUUUGUUAUUCAUAUAAUUGUCGCUCUUUUUUUCAUCUUCUGACGACAAUAUUAUUGAAUUGUCUACAUCAGACGCGAAAUCAUUAUUGUAUGUUUUCUGUAGAAAUAUAUUCUUGCUUUAUUUUACAAUAA